AUGCCCCACUUGCCGCCCAGCGCCUCUUGCGCGCGCCGUACAGGCGCCAGGCCCACCAAGCCUGUCAGGGCCCGACGCCCCCAAAGGCGGCCUCCAGAGAGCCCCUUACCUCCCGCCGGGGCGCUCGAGGCCAGUCGGUGCGCAGGGCGCAAGCGCAGGAGUGACGGGGCGGGGCGUCGCGAGGGGUGGGCAGGGCUGGGCCCCGCCCCACUCCGCGAGGCCCCCAGGCCGGGCGCGGGGGACGCGCAGGCAUACAGGUUCUCUCUCCUCACCACGCGGCUGCUGCUGGAGGAUGGAGGAGGUGUGGUGUCAGCAAUUCAAGACUGUCUUUCCUACCCUCUUCAGUGCCCUUUCUUGAUAAGCUGUUUAAACCAGAACUACUAUCAAUGCCUUUUACAAAAUGAGGUCAUUGGAUUGCAGAGUUGGCCUUCGAGAAGAUUUUGUGGCCUUUCUCAGCUGUCUAGGUGCUGUGUUUCUGUGGCUGCACGGAUGAAGAUGCUACAUCUAAGGACCUACUGAGAUGUUCCCCUUGGUACUAAGAUGAUGAAUAAACCUGAGACACUUGGAAACUUCUAAGCUCUUAUGGGAUGAAUGAUGGUUAUAAUAUCAUUAGAUGCCCAGACAUUACAAGGGAAAGGUUGUCCUGGGUCCUGAGACUACAUCUUUCUCAAGUAAUGUAUAAAACAGACACCCUGAAUCUUUCCUUAUCCUAAGCUGACACCCUUGAAGAGUUGAUGAUGGUAUAAAGUUUGAAGAUGGAGCAAAUAUAUCUGUGGACUCUUUUGCACAUUACUUUUCCCCCCUCUAUUUAGGGUAGAAAUAGGGCUGGUGGACGGAAGCUACCAGAAAAUAUUUUAAUCAAUAUUAAUAAAAACUUUCUAAAAAUGAGGGUAACAAAAAAGAUGGGAGAUGCUUCCUGGAGUGCACUGAGUGGUUCCUGGCAUAUUGUAGAGUUCUCAAUAAAUUACUAACUCUUAUAUAUCUUACAGUUGUUUCACAAACUUUCAGAGUAAGAAAGUAUCAAGGUUAUGUUGGCCUCACCAAAGUGAUUUAGAAAACAUUAUAUCUUUUUCUAUACUCAGGAAGAGCAUGCAUAAUAUUACCAUUAUUUCUUUCUUAAAUGUUUAAGAUAAUUCACCUGCGAAGCCAUCAGGGCCUAGAGUUUUUUCUGGGGGAUAGAUUUUGAUAGCAGAUUCAGCUUGUUUUAUAUAAAUAAAAAUGUCCACAUUUCAGAUCUCUUUUGGUGUCUGUUUCAGAAAGUUGUGCUCUAGACAUUUGUUUCAUCUUAGUUUCAGAUUUAUUUUCACAACAUUUUUCAUAGUAUCUUCUUUUUUUUCUAAUUUCUGUAGGUUCUGUAGUGAUGCCUUCUUUUUAUUCCCGAUACUUCAAAUCUGUCCAUCUCUCUUUUUUCUUCAUGAGUCUUGCAGGAGUUUAUUAAAUUUUAUCUAUUUUUUUUCAAGGAACCAACAUUUGGCUUGACUGAUUCUAUUGUAGAUUUGUUUUCUAUUUCAUUAAUUUUUCUUCCUUAUUAUACUCUUUAUUCUACCUUUUUGGACUUUGUUUUGCUUUUGUCCCUAAGUUCUUGCAGUAGAUACUUAAGUAAUUGAUUUUUAGCUCAUAUUAUUUUUUAAUAUAAGCUUUUAAACCUAUUUUUCUCUCAGCACAUUUUUAACUUCUCCCAUGCUUUUAUAAGCUAUAGAAUCACUACCAUUCAAUUUAAAAUAUUUUCUAAUUUCCAGUGUCAUCACUUCUUUGACACAGAGGUUAUUUAGAAUAUCAUCUAAUUUCCAAACAUAUGGGAAUUUUAGAGUCAUCUUUUUGUAACUGAUAUAGCUUAAUUCCACUGUGGUCAGAAAACAUACUUUAAAAGAUUUCAGGCCUUUGAAAUUUGUUAACGUUUGCUUUGUGGUUUAGUAUACGUCAAUUUUAGUAACUGCUCCUUAUGCACUGAAAAGAACAUUUAUUCCUGCUUUGCAGUGUUUUAUAAACAUCAAUUAGAUUAGGUUUGUUUAUUGCAUUGCUUUGGUAUUCUUUGUUCUUACUGAUUUCCCUCCCUGCUUAUUCUACUCAUUAUUAUGAGAAGUAUGUUAAAGUUUGUCACACUGAUGUGCAUUCAACUAUUUCUUUUAGUUCUAUAAAUUUUUACCUUAUAUAUUUUGAAACUAUAUUAUCAGAUGCAUACAAAUUUAGAGAUUGUUAUAUCUUCUUGGUGAAUAAAACCUUGUAUUAUUAUCAAA